rnacentral:tRNA from 1 species
CCGCUGGUGGGAGGCGUAGGCGAACUCCUCCAUCUCCUCGCGGGAGAUGUCCCAGUCCCGGGCGAUCAUCUCGGCCCCGGCGUAC